AAGACCUUUUGUUGGACAGAUCCAUUUGGGAAGGUGAAGAAUGCCCUCAGGAUCCCGAUCCUUUUGCCUCUCAGUCCAUCCACCUGCAAGAACUGCUUGUAUCCACCUCGAGGUAUGUACUUCGAUGCUGCUUUAGUUGCCACUGCAUCUCGCUGAUCGAAACCCACAAUAGCCUCCAACACUUGCACGGCAUCUGACACCGUUCGACCAAUGGGGCUGCCCACAAGACAUAAUAGUGAGGUUUCUUGUUGUCUUAUUGAUGAGGACGGGGAAGACGAGAGGUGCAACCCCUGCUGAUAAAGCAAGAAGGGCUCUGUUGUCUUACCCGACCGUGUCCUGUCUCGGGGAGAUGGGAACGACGCCGGCCCGGCUGGUGAGGCCGACGGUGGGUUUGAUCCCCGCCACCGAGUUGAAGUCCGAGGGACAAAUGAUGGACCCAUCCGUCUCCGUCCCCAGCGUCACCGUUGCCAUGUUGGCCGCCGCCGCUAUCGCCGAUCCGGUGCUUGAGCCGCACGGAUCCGCCGACAGCACGUACGGGUUCUGCAUUCCUACCGGCGGAUACGUGAACGAGCACCAAGCAAGUGAAGCUCGUGAGGGAUAGGUGAGCGAAUCGAGCAACUUACCCGGCCCUGCCCGCCGCGCGCGCUCCACGAGCUCGGCGCGUCCAGAGAGCGGAAGUUGGCCCACUCCGCCAUGUUGGCCUUCCCCAGGAUUACCGCUCCCGCCCGUCGCAGCCGCCGCACCACCCCCGCGUCGCGUGGCACCUUCGAGCCCAGCAGCGCGAACGAGCCGGCGGUGGUGUUGAGCCGGUCCCGCGUGGCUAUGUUGUCCUUGAGGAGGACCGGGAUGCCGUGCAGGCCCCCGCAAGGACGGCGCCCGCUCCGGCGCUCCCGGUCGGCCAGAUCGGCCUGCCGCAGCGCGUCCGGGUUCACCUCGAUGACGGCGUGGAGGAGCGGGUUCAGGGCGCGGAUCUGCGUCAGGUAGAACUCCACCAGCCGGCGGGAUGUGAGGCUCCCCUCCCUGAAGGCCAGCUGGAUGCCGUCGAUGGUCGCCUCCUGGAACUCGAACCCACGGCAGGGGAAGGUCGAGAGGAGAAGCAGCAGCAGAGCCGUGAAGCGGCAGAUGGAGAACGAGAGGGGGGGCAUCACUCCCAUCUGCAUAUAUCCCACGAUGGAUUAUGCGUGAACGGAGGGCAUCGCGGUUGGAAAUCCGAUACAAAUAGGCGCUCGUGCGAUGAAAUCUAUGAUCCGUUGACCCAAAAGUUUUGUGUGGGCGUGCCUGAUGUUGUUCACCGGCUGCUUGCAUACCCCAUGGAAAUAGCAAGUGGCUUCAUCUCGGAUGCCCUGUUUUCGUGGCAGGUGCUGCUUGGACUCUACCGAUCGCAAACGGAUCGAAGCCUUUUAGUAAAGCCAAGCGGUGGAAUCACUCGUGGAUGGCCGUCUUCCUGGCGUCACACACGGGAAGGUGAGAACUCGAUGAUGAAUGUUGACUGAUCAGAAUAAUCUCCAAGCUCGAAGACGAAGACGAAGACGAAGACGCAGGCCAAGUGGGCUUCUGUCACCUGGUCAAGGCUCGGCCCGAAUGUCCACAAUUCAUUUUAUUUAGGCAAAGUUGCACGCUUAUAUCUAACGAGAGUGA
rnacentral:lncRNA from 1 species